rnacentral:rRNA from 1 species
UACGUAGGGUGCAAGCGUUGUCCGGAAUUAUUGGGCCUAAAGCGUCCGUAGCUGGCUUGUUAGAUGCCUGGGUAAAUCGAUGCGCUCAACGUAUCGAACACCGGGUAGACCGGCAAGCUUGGGACCGGGAGAGACGUGAGCUACUCGAGGGGUAGGGGUAAAAUCCUGUAAUCCUUCGGGGAGGACCAGUGGCGAAGGCGUCACGUUAGAACGGCUCCGACAGUGAGGGACGAAGCCCUGGGGCGCAAACCGG